CACUUGAGGAACCCAAACACUGGGAUUGUGGUGGCCUCUUGCCCACCUGUGUGAUGAACUGGAGAGUCAGCAUGCAGGCUGGAGGUUAAAAGAAGCUGUACAAUCCAGUUGGGAAGUGAGCACCAUAUGCGGCAGACCUGAAUUUCAGAGGCGUUGCAGAGCACCCACAACUCCAGCUGAAGUCAAUGGGAACCACAGUCACUCAGCACUGGUGGAAAUAUCUAUGUGGAAAGUAAAUCUUUUUGAGUUAAGGUCUCCUCCUAGGGCUAGAUCCUCAGCGAGUGUCACCAGAUGUUACUCUUCUAAAGACAUCUUGAAGCCAUGCUGACACCAGCAAAGGAUCCGGCCCCGAUUCGCCAAAGCAGUGCAGUUCUGCAUACUUGAUACAAAAUAUGCGGCAUUUCGAGAACUGAGGAGGUUAUAUAAAAUAUGUUGAUUUUAACAUUAAAAUAAA